GAGGAAUCUUGCGCAAUGGGGGAAACCCUGACGCAGCCACGCCGCGUGGGUGAAGAAGGCCUUCGGGUCGUAAAGCCCUGUCAGGUGGGAAGAACCGCAGUUGGAUGAAUAAUCCGGCUGCCUGACGGUACCACCAAAGGAAGCACCGGCUAACUCCGUGCCAGCAGCCGCGGUAAUACGGAGGGUGCAAGCGUUGUUCGGAAUUACUGGGCGUAAAGCGCGUGUAGGCGGACCUAUAAGUCAGAUGUGAAAGCCCUGGGCUCAACCCAGGAAGCGCAUCUGAUACUGUAGGCCUUGAGUCCCGGAGAGNGUUGUGGAAUUCCCGGUGUAGAGGUGAAAUUCGUAGAUAUCGGGAGGAACACCAGUGGCGAAGGCGACAACCUGGACGAGGACUGACGCUGAGACGCGAAAGCGUGGGGAGCAAACA
rnacentral:rRNA from 1 species